rnacentral:rRNA from 1 species
AGAGUUUGAUCCUGGCUCAGGAUGAACGCUAGCUACAGGCUUAACACAUGCAAGUCGAGGGGCAGCAUGGUCUUAGCUUGCUAAGGCCGAUGGCGACCGGCGCACGGGUGAGUAACACGUAUCCAACCUGCCGUCUACUCUUGGACAGCCUUCUGAAAGGAAGAUUAAUACAAGAUGGCAUCAUGAGUCCACAUGUUCACAUGAUUAAAGGUAUUCCGGUAGACGAUGGGGAUGCGUUCCAUUAGAUAGUAGGCGGGGUAACGGCCCACCUAGUCUUCGAUGGAUAGGGGUUCUGAGAGGAAGGUCCCCCACAUUGGAACUGAGACACGGUCCAAACUCCUACGGGAGGCAGCAGUGAGGAAUAUUGGUCAAUGGGCGAGAGCCUGAACCAGCCAAGUAGCGUGAAGGAUGACUGCCCUAUGGGUUGUAAACUUCUUUUAUAAAGGAAUAAAGUCGGGUAUGCAUACCCGUUUGCAUGUACUUUAUGAAUAAGGAUCGGCUAACUCCGUGCCAGCAGCCGCGGUAAUACGGAGGAUCCGAGCGUUAUCCGGAUUUAUUGGGUUUAAAGGGAGCGUAGAUGGAUGUUUAAGUCAGUUGUGAAAGUUUGCGGCUCAACCGUAAAAUUGCAGUUGAUACUGGAUAUCUUGAGUGCAGUUGAGGCAGGCGGAAUUCGUGGUGUAGCGGUGAAAUGCUUAGAUAUCACGAAGAACUCCGAUUGCGAAGGCAGCCUGCUAAGCUGCAACUGACAUUGAGGCUCGAAAGUGUGGGUAUCAAACAGGAUUAGAUACCCUGGUAGUCCACACGGUAAACGAUGAAUACUCGCUGUUUGCGAUAUACUGCAAGCGGCCAAGCGAAAGCGUUAAGUAUUCCACCUGGGGAGUACGCCGGCAACGGUGAAACUCAAAGGAAUUGACGGGGGCCCGCACAAGCGGAGGAACAUGUGGUUUAAUUCGAUGAUACGCGAGGAACCUUACCCGGGCUUAAAUUGCAGAUGAAUUACGGUGAAAGCCGUAAGCCGCAAGGCAUCUGUGAAGGUGCUGCAUGGUUGUCGUCAGCUCGUGCCGUGAGGUGUCGGCUUAAGUGCCAUAACGAGCGCAACCCUUGUUGUCAGUUACUAACAGGUUCUGCUGAGGACUCUGACAAGACUGCCAUCGUAAGAUGUGAGGAAGGUGGGGAUGACGUCAAAUCAGCACGGCCCUUACGUCCGGGGCUACACACGUGUUACAAUGGGGGGUACAGAGGGCCGCUACCACGCGAGUGGAUGCCAAUCCCAAAAACCUCUCUCAGUUCGGACUGGAGUCUGCAACCCGACUCCGCGAAGCUGGAUUCGCUAGUAAUCGCGCAUCAGCCACGGCGCGGUGAAUACGUUCCCGGGCCUUGUACACACCGCCCGUCAAGCCAUGGGAGCCGGGGGUACCUGAAGUGCGUAACCGCGAGGAGCGCCCUAGGGUAAAACUGGUGACUGGGGCUAAGUCGUAACAAGGUA